UUGAACUUUAACUACAUUAGUUUUGACUUAAUUCCAACAACUAAAUUCACUAACUAAACCGACAUUAUUCAUUUUAACUUAUUUAAACAACAUUAACUAAAUUCUCUAACUAACCAACAUUAUUUAUUUUAACUUAUUUAAACAACUGAACAACUUUUAACUUUAACUACAAUAGUUUUGACUUAAUUCCAACAACUAAAUUCACUAACUAAACCGACAUUAUUCAUUUUAACUUAUUUAAACAACAUAACAACUUUUGAACUUUAACUACAUUAGUUUUGACUUAAUUCCAACAACUAAAUUCACUAACUAAACCGACAUUAUUCAUUUUAACUUAUUUAAACAACAUAACAACUUUUGAACUUUAACUACAUUAGUUUUGACUUAAUUCCAACAACUAAAUUCACUAACUAAACCACAUUAUUUGUUUUAACUUAUUUAAACAACUUAACA
rnacentral:lncRNA from 1 species